rnacentral:rRNA from 1 species
UACGUAGGGUGCGAGCGUUAAUCGGAAUUACUGGGCGUAAAGAGUGCGUAGGCGGUUCUUUGUGUCCGCUGUGAAAGCCCCGGGCUCAACCUGGGAAUUGCAUUGGAAACUAGCGGGCUUGAGUGUGGCAGAGGGGGGUGGAAUUCCACGUGUAGCAGUGAAAUGCGUAGAGAUGUGGAGGAACACCGAUGGCGAAGGCAGCCCCCCUGGGCUAACACUGACGCUCAUGCACGAAAGCGUGGGGAGCAAACAGG